AACGAACGCUGGCGGCGGGCCUAAUACAUGCAAGUCGGACGCAGUUGCGAACGGGGGAGUAACGCGUAGGAACCUGCCUAUUAGAGGGGGAUAACUAUUGGAACCGAUAGCUAAUACCGCAUACUAGUAGAAUGACCUGGGUUGGAUUAGCUAGUAGGUAGGGUAAAGGCCUACCUAGGCAACGAUACAUAGCUGACCUGAGAGGGUGAUCAGCCACACUGGGACUGAGACACGGCCCAGACUCCUACGGGAGGCAGCAGUGGGGAAUAUUCGACAAUGGGCGAAAGCCUGAUCCAGCCAUGCCGCGUGUGUGAAGAAGGUCUUCGGAUUGUAAAGCACUUUCAGUUGGGAGGCGUUACCAGCAGAAUAAGCACCGGCUAACUCCGUGCCAGCAGCCGCGGUAAUUC
rnacentral:rRNA from 1 species